rnacentral:rRNA from 1 species
GACGAACGCUGGCGGCGUGCCUAAUACAUGCAAGUCGAGCGAAGCGGCGGAUGGGUGAGUAACGCGUGGGUAACCUGCCCGUAAGUCUGGGAACUUAUAUGGAAACAGAUACUAAUACCGGAUACUAAAGGAUUGACCUGCGAUGAAUUAGCUAGUUGGUAAGGUAACGGCUUACUAAGGCGAUGAUGCAUAGCCGAGUUGAGAGACUGAUCGGCCACAUUGGGACUGAGACACGGCCCAAACUCCUACGGGAGGCAGCAGUAGGGAAUCUUCCACAAUGGACGAAAGUCUGAUGGAGCAACGCCGCGUGAGUGAAGAAGGUUUUCGGAUCGUAAAGCUCUGUUGUUGGUGAAGCGGUAAUCAACCAGAAAGUCACGGCUAACUACGUGCCAGCCGCCGCGGUAAUAC